CCCUUGCCUUAGGCUCGGGCUACAAAUCUCCCACUCGUCAAAAUAAAAACUUCCCAACUAGCAUGUAUAGUAUACAGUUUUACUUG